GACGAACGCUGGCGGCGUGCUUAACACAUGCAAGUCGAACGGAAAGGCCCUGCUUUUGUGGGGUGCUCGAGUGGCGAACGGGUGAGUAACACGUGAGUAACCUGCCCUUGACUUUGGGAUAACUUCAGGAAACUGGGGCUAAUACCGGAUAGGAGCUCCUGCUGCAUGGUGGGGGUUGGAAAGUUUCGGCGGUUGGGGAUGGACUCGCGGCUUAUCAGCUUGUUGGUGGGGUAGUGGCUUACCAAGGCUUUGACGGGUAGCCGGCCUGAGAGGGUGACCGGCCACAUUGGGACUGAGAUACGGCCCAGACUCCUACGGGAGGCAGCAGUUGGGAAUAGUGCACAAUGGGCGGAAGCCUGAUGCAGCAACGCCGCGUGCGGGAUGACGGCCUUCGGGUUGUAAACCGCUUUCGCCUGUGACGAAGCGUGAGUGACGGUAAUGGGUAAAGAAGCACCGGCUAACUACGUG
rnacentral:rRNA from 1 species